UUUCAAGGCUAAAGACAACUCACCAAGAGGGGGAAAAAAAAGAACACUCACUCUCGGCCUCUCCCUCUUUCAAUCACACAUGGACUAACACACACAAAACAAUGACAAAAAAAAUCUCUCUCUCUCUUUUUCUCGACUCCCUCUCUUCCCUUUCCCUAUACAUAUUCUUCCACAAAUCAAACACAAGGGAAAGCAAGCAAUUGGAUGUGAGGGGGGCUAGAAUUUUAUCAAAAAAAUUUAACCAAGAUCAUAAGAGAGUUGCCUCAGUAUCUUUUCUAUGGGGGAUUUUGCCGUGAUGGGGGUGUGAUUGGCAUAACUCAACCUAGACGAGUUGCAGCUGUAUCAGUCGCAAAACGGGUUGCGGAGGAAUGUGGUGUGGCUCUGGGCCAAAAGGUUGGAUAUGACUGAUGGAUUGCUAUUGAGGGAAGCAUUAUUGGACCAGUGUCUCUCGAAGUAUUCAGUUAUUAUUGUAGAUGAGGCUCGUGAAAGAAUAGUUCACACUGAGGUGUUGCUUGGCCGGGCGAAGAGUGUGCAAAAAACAAGGUCCAGUGUCAAUAAAGUAAUGAAUGGUCAUGCCCAAAAUGGGUUGCUAAUGGGAGCAGAAAAUGAUAAUAGUUUCUUGAUGCCAUGCCAUGGCAAGAAAUCAUCUCCUCUAAUGUUAAUUAUCAUAUCUGUUGGUUUGGAUGCAUGGGUUUUUUUUUAGUACUUUGGUGGUGAAAAAGAGCUGUUCAUGUCCGGGGCCGACGGUGGGUUUUUUUCUUAACAAUGUUCAGAGGUAGCAAUGUGAUACUUAACAAUGUUCAGAGGUAGUACACUAGUUUAUUUGUGCAUUUCCUUUUCUUCUACAAAAUAUCGUUGAUACUUGGUUA